rnacentral:rRNA from 1 species
GACGAACGCUGGCGGCGUGCUUAAAACAUGCAAGUCGAGCGAUGAAGUUUCUUCGGAAAUGGAUUAGCGGCGAACGGGUGAGGAACACGUGAAGAAUCUGCCCUCCACUUUGGGAUAACACAGGGAAACCUGUGCUAAUACCGAAUAUUGAAACAUAAGUGGCAUCACUGAGUUUUGAAAGAAUUUCGGUGGAGGAUGACUCCGCGGCCUAUCAGCUAGUUGGUGAGGUAAUGGCUCACCGAGGCAACGACGGGUAGCCGGCCUGAGAGGGCGACCGGCCACACUGGGACUGAGACACGGCCCAGACUCCUACGGGAGGCAGCAGUGGGGAAUAUUGGGCAAUGGAGGAAACUCUGACCCAGCGACGCCGCGUGCGGGAUGAAGGCCUUCGGGUUGUAAACCGCUUUCAGUAGGGAAGAAGCGAAAGUGACGGUACCUACAAAAGAAGCACCGGCUAACUAUGUGCCAGCCGCCGCGGUAA